CCGGAGAAUAUUUUUAUUUGAAUUGAAUUUCUUUUUCCAUUACUAAUCGAAAACGCCGGUGGCUCCAUUCCGUACUUAUCAAGCAGCUACACAUCUCUAGAUAAUACCAUUUAUGUAAGGAAAUUUGUACAGCAGAUACCGACUGCUGAAUCCGUAAAAUCACGUAACUACCUUAGCCCCAUAAGAUGCAUUAUCCGUACGGAUCCUAAGUCUGUAGUCUGUGUCUGCGCUGUGGCGAUUACGACUGUGACGGUACUAUAGGGAGUGAAACACAAAUGUUCACAAAUCUUUAUUCAAGUCACCAAAAACCUUUCCGCAAUCAUCAUUUUUGACUAUUCGGAAUUUUAUGGUAAACUUUAGGUAAACAUGACUUAUCAUUAGAUUGUGAAUUUUAUGCAUUUAUGGCAAAUAUGAGUGAGAACAAUUUAAAAAAUGAGAUAAGGUAAAACAAUUUAAGAGUAUCGACGUACUGUUUUCAAUUUGUUAAAAUUAUUACAGAAGGAAUUAAACAUAUAUCUAAUAUCUGUCUCCUACAAAUAUGAGGCAGAAAAUUUUUAUUUUGCAUAAAGAUCUGCAGUCUAAUUAUCAUAAAUGAAAUUCAACGAUGACAUCUAAAAGAUUUACUUCUUCAAUUCAUUAUCAUAUAUAAUCUGUUCUACACAUAUCCAUAAUAAAGUACUUAUUGUAACAAAUGUA